UACGUAGGCGGAAGAUUAAGUCAGUGGUGAAACCCCGCAGCUCAACUGUGGAACUGUCAUUGAUACUGGUUUUCUUGAAUUUAGUUGAGGUAGGCGGAAUGUGUAAUGUAGCGGUGAAAUGCUUAGAUAUUACACAGAACACCGAUUGCGAAGGCAGCUUACUAAACUAUGAUUGACGCUGAGGUACGAAAGCGUGGGGAGCGAACAGGAUUAGAUACCCUGGUAGUCC
rnacentral:rRNA from 1 species